GCUUGACUGUGAGACCGACGGGUCGAGCAGGGACGAAAGUCGGGACUAGUGAUCCGGCGGUGGCUUGUGGAAGCGCCGUCGCUCAACGGAUAAAAGGUACCCCGGGGAUAACAGGCUGAUCUUCCCCAAGAGUCCAUAUCGACGGGAUGGUUUGGCACCUCGAUGUCGGCUCGUCGCAUCCUGGGGCUGGAGUCGGUCCCAAGGGUUGGGCUGUUCGCCCAUUAAAGCGGUACGCGAGCUGGGUUUAGAACGUCGUGAGACGGUUCGGUCCCUAUCCGCUGUGCGCGUAGGAGUCUUGAGAAGGGCUGUCCCUAGUACGAGAGGACCGGGACGGACGAACCUCUGGUGUGCCAGUUGUUCUGCCAAGGGCAUGGCUGGUUGGCUACGUUCGGGAGGAUAACCGCUAGAAAGCAUCUAAGCGGGAAGCCUGCUUCGAGAUG
rnacentral:ncRNA from 1 species